rnacentral:rRNA from 1 species
AACGAACGCUGGCGGCAGGCUUAACACAUGCAAGUCGAACGCCCCGCAAGGGGAGUGGCAGACGGGUGAGUAACGCGUGGGAACGUGCCCUUCGCUUCGGAAUAGCCCCGGGAAACUGGGAGUAAUACCGAAUACGCCGUAUUGGGAAAGAUUUAUCGGCGAAGGAUCGGCCCGCGUUAGAUUAGCUAGUUGGCGGUGUAAUGGACCACCAAGGCUACGAUCUAUAGCUGGUCUGAGAGGAUGAUCUGCCACACUGGGACUGAGACACGGCCCAGACUCCUACGGGAGGCAGCAGUGGGGAAUAUUGGACAAUGGGGGGAACCCUGAUCCAGCGAUGCCGCGUGUGUGAAGAAGGCCUGCGGGUUGUAAAGCACUUUCAGCGGGGAGGAAGUUGAUUGGGUUAAGAGCCUGAUUGAUUGACGGUACCUGCAGAAGAAGCACCGGCUAACUC